rnacentral:rRNA from 1 species
UUCCAGACUCCUACGGGAGGCAGCAGUGGGGAAUAUUGCACAAUGGGGGAAACCCUGAUGCAGCGACGCCGCGUGAGUGAAGAAGUAUUUCGGUAUGUAAAGCUCUAUCAGCAGGGAAGAUAAUGACGGUACCUGAGUAAGAAGCCCCGGCUAACUACGUGCCAGCAGCCGCGGUAAUACGUAGGGGGCAAGCGUUAUCCGGAUUUACUGGGUGUAAAGGGAGCGUAGACGGCAUGGCAAGUCUGAAGUGAAAGCCCGGGGCUCAACCGCGGGACUGCUUUGGAAACUGUUAAGCUGGAGUGCAGGAGAGGUAAGUGGAAUUCCUAGUGUAGCGGUGAAAUGCGUAGAUAUUAGGAGGAACACCAGUGGCGAAGGCGGCUUACUGGACUGUAACUGACGUUGAGGCUCGAAAGCGUGGGGAGCAAACAGGAUUAGAUACCCUGGUACGG